ensembl:snRNA U6 U6 spliceosomal RNA
UUGCUCACUUCAGCAGUAAAUAUACUAAAAUUGGAAUGAUACAGAGAAGAUUAGCAUGGCCCUUGUGCAAGGAUGACACGCAAAUUCGUGAAGCAUUUUU